UGGGGAAUAUUGCACAAUGGGGGAAACCCUGAUGCAGCGACGCCGCGUGAGCGAUGAAGGCUUUCGAGUCGUAAAGCUCUGUCCUAUGGGAAGAUAAUGACGGUACCAUAGAAGAAAGCCCCGGCUAAUUACGUGCCAGCAGCCGCGGUAAUACGUAAGGGGCGAGCGUUGUCCGGAAUUAUUGGGCGUAAAGAGUGCGUAGGCGGCAAAUUAAGUCAGAUGUGAAAACUAAUGGCUCAACCCAUAGAUUGCAUCUGAAACUGAUAUGCUUGAGUCAAGGAGAGGAAAGUGGAAUUCCUAGUGUAGCGGUGAAAUGCGUAGAUAUUAGGAGGAAUACCGGUGGCGAAGGCGACUUUCUGGACUUGAACUGACGCUGAGGCACGAAAGCGUGGGGAGCAAACAGG
rnacentral:rRNA from 1 species